rnacentral:rRNA from 1 species
UGGGGAAUUUUGGACAAUGGGCGAAAGCCUGAUCCAGCAAUGCCGCGUGUGUGAAGAAGGCCUUCGGGUUGUAAAGCACUUUUGUCCGGAAAGAAAUCCUUGGCUCUAAUACAGUCGGGGGAUGACGGUACCGGAAGAAUAAGCACCGGCUAACUACGUGCCAGCAGCCGCGGUAAUACGUAGGGUGCAAGCGUUAAUCGGAAUUACUGGGCGUAAAGCGUGCGCAGGCGGUUUGCUAAGACGAUGUNGAUCCCCGGGCUCAACCUGGGAACUGCAUUGGUGACUGGCAGGCUAGAGUAUGGCAGAGGGGGGUAGAAUUCCACGUGUAGCAGUGAAAUGCGUAGAGAUGUGGAGGAAUACCGAUGGCGAAGGCAGCCCCCUGGGCCAAUACUGACGCUCAUGCACGAAAGCGUGGGGAGCAAACAGGAUUAGAUACCC